GAAGAACGACGAAAAAUCUUCACGAAAUUGCUCACAGAAAUGUCUCGAAAGCAUUACGGAAGAACCUCGACUUGGAUUUUCUUCAACGAAACAUGUUUUUUCACCCAAAACAGCUUAAAU
rnacentral:misc_RNA from 1 species